rnacentral:rRNA from 1 species
UAGGUAAUUUUCCCUUGAGCGGGGGACAACGGUCCGAAAGGACCGCUAAUACCGCAUACGUUCCUGGGGGCUUCGGCUUCUGGGAGGAAAGCUAGGUCGCAAGAUCCGGCACUCGAGGAGAAGCCUGCGUAGCAUCAGCUAGUUGGUGAGGUAAUGGCUCACCAAGGCGAAGACGCUUAGCUGGUCUGAGAGGAUGGCCAGCCACAGUUGGGACUGAGACACCGGCCCAGACUCCGUACGGG